GGCCUUAUGGUCUAGUCGCAUGAUUCCUCCUUUGGGUGCACAGCCACACGAUUGGAGGAGGUCCUGGGUUCAAUUCCCAGUGAGGCCC